AACGUACGCUGGCGGCACGCCUAACACAUGCAAGUCGAACGCAGUAGCAAUACUGAGUGGCAGACGGGUGAGUAACAUGUGGGAAUCUGCCUUGUGGUUCAGGACAACAUUGGGAAACCGAUGCUAAUACUGGAUAAGCCCUUACGGGGAGAGUUGUAAUGCCAUAAGUUGAGCCCGCAUUUGAUUAGUUAGUUGGUUAGGUAAUGGCUCACCAAGGCAAUGACCAAUCGCUGAUCUGAGAGGAUGGUCAGCCACACUGGGACUGUGACACGGUCCAGAGUCCGAAGGUAGGCAGCAGUGGGGAAUCUUGCACAAUGGAGGAACCUAUGAUGCAGCGAUGCCCCGUGAGUGAAGAAGGCCUUUGGGUUGUAAAGCUCUUUUGUAGGGGAAGAUGAUGACGGUACCCUAAGAAUAAGGGCCGGCUAACUUCGUGCCAGCCGCCGCGGUAA
rnacentral:rRNA from 1 species